rnacentral:rRNA from 1 species
UCGAACGAGUUCUCGUUGAUGAUCGGUGCUUGCACUGAGAUUCAACAUGGACACGAGUGGCGGACGGGUGAGUAACACGUGGGUAACCUGCCCUUAAGUGGGGGAUAACAUUUGGAAACAGAUGCUAAUACCGCAUAGAUCCAAGAACCGCAUGGUUCUUGGCUGAAAGAUGGCGUAAGCUAUCGCUUUUGGAUGGACCCGCGGCGUAUUAGCUAGUUGGUGAGGUAAUGGCUCACCAAGGCGAUGAUACGUAGCCGAACUGAGAGGUUGAUCGGCCACAUUGGGACUGAGACACGGCCCAAACUCCUACGGGAGGCAGCAGUAGGGAAUCUUCCACAAUGGACGCAAGUCUGAUGGAGCAACGCCGCGUGAGUGAAGAAGGCUUUCGGGUCGUAAAACUCUGUUGUUGGAGAAGAAUGGUCGGCAGAGUAACUGUUGUCGGCGUGACGGUAUCCAACCAGAAAGCCACGGCUAACUACGUGCCAGCAGCCGCGGUAAUACGUAGGUGGCAAGCGUUAUCCGGAUUUAUUGGGCGUAAAGCGAGCGCAGGCGGUUUUUUAAAUCUGAUGUGAAAGCCCUCGGCUUAACCGAGGAAGCGCAUCGGAAACUGGGAAACUUGAGUGCAGAAGAGGACAGUGGAACUCCAUGUGUAGCGGUGAAAUGCGUAGAUAUAUGGAAGAACACCAGUGGCGAAGGCGGCUGUCUGGUCUGUAACUGACGCUGAGGCUCGAAAGCAUGGGUAGCGAACAGGAUUAGAUACCCUGGUAGUCCAUGCCGUAAACGAUGAAUGCUAGGUGUUGGAGGGUUUCCGCCCUUCAGUGCCGCAGCUAACGCAUUAAGCA